AUUGAACGCUGGCGGCAGGCUUAACACAUGCAAGUCGAGCGGGCGAGGUUGCUUCGGUAACUGAGCUAGCGGCGGACGGGUGAGUAAUGCUUAGGAAUCUGCCUAUUAGUGGGGGACAACAUUCCGAAAGGAAUGCUAAUACCGCAUACGCCCUACGGGGGAAAGCAGGGGAUCUUCGGACCUUGCGCUAAUAGAUGAGCCUAAGUCAGAUUAGCUAGUUGGUGGGGUAAAGGCCUACCAAGGCGACGAUCUGUAGCGGGUCUGAGAGGAUGGUCCGCCAAACUGGGACUGAGACACGGCCAAGACUCCUACGGGAGGCAGCAGUGGGGAAUAUUGGACAAUGGGCGCAAGCCUGAUCCAGCCAUGCCGCGUGUGUGAAGAAGGCCUUUUGGUUGUAAAGCACUUUAAGCGAGGAGGAGGCUACCGAGAUUAAUACUCUUGGAUAGUGGACGUUACUCGCAGAAUAAGCACCGGCUAACUCUGUGCCAGCCGCCGCCGUAA
rnacentral:rRNA from 1 species